GAAGGACGUAGUAGCUUGCGAUAAGCUGCGGGGAGCUAGCAAACAAGCUUUGAUCCGCAGAUUUCCGAAUGGGGAAACCCGGCCUUUACAGGUCAUUGCAUACUGAAUACAUAGGUAUGCAAAGCGAACGCGGCGAACUGAAACAUCUAAGUAGCUGCAGGAAAAUAAAUCAACCGAGAUUCCCAAAGUAGUGGCGAGCGAAAUGGGAUGAGCCUGCACGUUUUAGCAUGACGGAUAGUAGAAACCACUGGAAAUUGGUGCCAUAGAGGGUGAUAGCCCCUUAUACGAAAUUCGAUGUGUGGAACUAAGCGUGCGACAAGUAGGGCGGGACACGAGAAAUCCUGUCUGAAUAUGGGGGGACCAUCCUCCAAGGCUAAAUACUCGUAAUCGACCGAUAGUGAACCAGUACCGUGAGGGAAAGGCGAAAAGAACCCCGGAAGGGGAGUGAAAUAGAUCCUGAAACCGUGUGCAUACAAACAGUAGGAGCGGACUUGUUCCGUGACUGCGUACCUUUUGUAUAAUGGGUCAGCGACUUACAUUCAGUGGCAAGGUUAACCGUAUAGGGAAGCCGUAGAGAAAUCGAGUCCGAACAGGGCGACAGUCGCUGGGUGUAGACCCGAAACCAAGUGAUCUACUCAUGGCCAGGAUGAAGGUGCGGUAACACGCCCUGGAGGUCCGAACCCACUAAUGUUGAAAAAUUAGGGGAUGAGCUGUGGGUAGGGGUGAAAGGCUAAACAAACUUGGAAAUAGCUGGUUCUCUCCGAAAACUAUUUAGGUAGUGCCUCAAGUAUCACCAUCGGGGGUAGAGCACUGUUAUGGCUAGGGGUUCAUUGCGAAUUACCAAACCAUUGCAAACUCCGAAUACCGAUGAGUGCGAGCUUGGGAGACAGACGUCGGGUGCUAACGUCCGGCGUCAAGAGGGAAACAACCCAGACCGCCAGCUAAGGUCCCAAAGAUUGGCUAAGUGGAAAACGAAGUGGGAAGGCUAAAACAGUCAGGAUGUUGGCUUAGAAGCAGCCAUCAUUUAAAGAAAGCGUAAUAGCUCACUGAUCGAGUCGUCCUGCGCGGAAGAUGUAACGGGGCUAAGCCAGUCACCGAAGCUGCGGAUAU
rnacentral:rRNA from 1 species